AGAUUGUCCAGCCAACAGCUGUCCAGCCAAACAAUAAUGUCGCUGCAUCUGUAGAGGUGGCGGCAGUUGCAUCAAACAUGAGUACUGAAGAAGAGAAGCCUCAAAGCCACCCAGAGCAAUCUGAAGUCGGUGGUAAACCAAGGGCAGCUAGCAUUCGCACUACAAGAAGUAGUAAAGCUGGUGAAACACAUUUCGUCCCGUCCGCGGCAUACAUUUCAUCACAACAGCUACAGGAAAAAGCUGCAAAUAGGAGACGACAAAACGCCAAGAAGACAGGAGGUGAAAUUUUUGUACUCUACCUGCUGUGAAUGUUUCUGUUUCAGCUGUCAAAGUGUUUAUAGUUGUGUUAAUUAUUUGCUGUCAUUCUGAUAAUUUUAUGAUUCACAAUGAAACUUUGGUUUGAUA